AAGUUACGCAGCGGGAGUCAAUUUUCACCUCCGAGGACAACUCCAUGUUAUAUGCGACAGUAGAAAGAAUGGGUGGUAGAUUUGCGAGGUACCGGUAUUCGAGUCCCGAAAACUGGUGAAUUCACUAGUUCUGUACUAGUACUUUCCGCUGCAGGGGCAACUUAUCGGAAUUAGUAAUGUAUCGGAAAUAAUAAUGUCUCGUCUUUUAAUAGUUGUACCUCUAUGUACAUAUGUAUACAUAUUUAUUUGUACCCUGUGGGGAAACGCAGCAGUGCCGUACUGGUUGGUCUUGCGACUACCCUACUCCGUCGCCCAAACAUUGAAAUCACCUAACACAAUUAUUGGGUGUCUGUCGAUUGCAGUUUCCACUACAUUGUCCUGGAGCUUUUGGAAUUCCUAGUGAGUCCAGCUAGGCAGGGUUGCCAACUUCUGCAUUCUCGAAACCGGGACACAGAAUGUUAUGAAAGGAACAACAAAACAAUAUAAUAUUUCAUAGAUACAUGGAAAUUUUC